UACAGAGGUCUCAAGCGUUGUUCGGAUUCAUUGGGCGUAAAGGGUGCGUAGGCGGCGCGGUAAGUCGGGUGUGAAAAUCUCGGAGCUUAACUCCGAAACUGCAUUCGAUACUGCCGUGCUUGAGGACUGGAGAGGAGACUGGAAUUUACGGUGUAGCGGUGAAAUGCGUAGAUAUCGUAAGGAAGACCAGUGGCGAAGGCGGGUCUCUGGACAGUUCCUGACGCUGAGGCACGAAGGUCAGGGGAGCAAAACGGG
rnacentral:rRNA from 1 species